UACGUAGGGGGCAAGCGUUGUCCGGAAUUAUUGGGCGUAAAGAGCGUGUAGGCGGUCCGGUAAGUCGGUUGUGAAAGUCCAGGGCUCAACCCUGGGAUGCCGAUCGAUACUGCCGGACUAGAGUCCGGAAGAGGCGAGUGGAAUUCCCGGUGUAGCGGUGAAAUGCGCAGAUAUCGGGAGGAACACCAAUGGCGAAGGCAGCUCGCUGGGACGGUACUGACGCUGAGACGCGAAAGCGUGGGGAGCGAACAGG
rnacentral:rRNA from 1 species